rnacentral:lncRNA from 1 species
CCGCGGCGGGCGUGGGGCGGGGACGCGCGGAGCCCACGAAGGCACCAUGCGGAGGACGGAACCAGCUCAAGUCUGCGAUGCACAAGUCAUUUCUCAUAGACAUCCGUAGCCUGGAAUGAUUGCAGAUCACAGGGUGAAGCAAAACAGUUCUCAACCAAAUCCUGCUCCAGGGACAUACAGGAUCCUACAAAAGAUGAAACAUCGGAAGAGGAGAUACUGGUGAACUGCUGAAUACUGAUGAGUUGCUGGGUUGCUUGAUAAAGUUUCUGCGCUAACUUGCACCCCAUCUUCAAGUCCCUGUAAGUGUUACCUUCUCUGGGAAGCGGGAUCGCCAGACUUCCUGCCUUUCUCCUAAAGUGUCCACAGGGACAGGUCUCAGUUUUGGCACUUCUGCCAUUUGAAUAUUGGUUAAAUAGUUUGUCUCUAUGGCUGGCUUUUAGGCUCUUUCUUUUUCUUUUUUAUUCUUAUUUUCUGAUUUCAUUAGUAACACAUUUCACUAUGUAAAAUUCUACCAUUACGGAAAUCCUGGACAUUAAGGAAAUGCCUAUCUUUUUUUUUUUUUUCAUGUGGGUUUGUUUUGCUUUGUUUUGAGACAGGGUUGACUACAUAUUCCAGGCUGACCUUGAACUCACUCUGUAGCCCAGGCUGGCCUUGAACUAGCCUGCGGCGAUCCUCCUGCCUCAGACUUCCAAGUGCCGGGACAACAGGACUGCGCCAGCACACCCGGCAAAAUGCCUGUUUUAGAGAGCCUUUCUCUGUUGCCCUGUGCUUGUUUCUCUUGUUAGCAUGUGCAGUUCACCCCACAAGAGCAGCUGCACACAUCCAUCUCACCCUAAGCCUGAGUUCCAGGAGGAUUGGGGUCGUCUCUCUCUGUUUUCAUGCGAUAGCACCUAACACGGCCCCUGGUACAUGGCGCAUGCUCAGUGUGCGUCCCCUGAAUGGAUGGGAGGACGCUGCCUUCGAAGCGUGUGCUGUUACAUGGGUGCCUGCGAUAGAUACGUGUGACCAACAGAG